ACAGAAGAGAUGGACGUGCUGCUACAUCCCUGCUCUUGCUGUUCUACCUUCAAGCAUCUUUUUUUGUGUGUUUUUAAUUCAACUUUUGCUAUGCGCAAUUAUGUCUGUCCAGUUUUGAGGAGCGUCUGUGCAAGGAGGUGUGACCUCUACAAUCCUUCGAUGCAGUUGUAAUCGGAGAAGACACAAAAGAUUACAGCUGGAGGGAGAUAUCGCCAAAAUUCGAACACCGAUGCUGAUAUCAAAGAAAAAUGGAGAACGAUUCAGGAACGUCAGGUCAACUCAGUCUGGUGCCUGAUCCACUGCUGUCGACCUCGGCCCGGCACCGGCGAGCCUUAACCUUGGAUCCCCCCCAACCCUCCAGGAGGCGUGUGGAUAGGGGGAGUGGGGCUAAGGCCUGAGGUGUGUGGAGAAAGCAAGGACCUGCCACAUUAUAUGCUUUAACAUGACUGGCAAAUCCACCGCGGUUAAACAAACUUAACCUUCAUUUGUGAAACGGUGCAAAUCAAAGGGCAAAAAAGGACUUGUGCUGGUAAUUACCGCUGGGGGAGAGCAACAGGGGAUUCAAGGAUGGAGGAAGGAGAGAGGUGAGCGCCGGGAGAUAGAGAGGGGAGAAUACAAAAAGAAGGGGAAUCAUUUAAGGAGAAGACGCAUUUGUAAUGAGUUUGCCCAGAAAUGGAUUUUCCGCUGUAAUCUUUUAUUUAUAUGCAGGCUGGUCUCCCUCCCCGGCAGUGUGAGGGUCAGUCCUCUGUGAACCCUGUCAGGACCCCACUCCGUCAAACACCCAAAGACCAGGGAAAAUGGUAUUUUAGCAAAGGCAAACAUUGUCCUGUCUUGGCUUAAGGGGCGAAAUAGCUGUUUAUUUUUAAAAACUUGUUCCCCUCUAUCCAUCAUGCCAGAAAUUCUGUCAGGAGGAAGGAAGACAGGAGCAAAUUGAAAUUGGAACUAAGUUUAGACAGUUAUCAUCAUAAUUAUCCAAUUAAUAUUAAUGGAGUAGAGUGUCAUUAGAGCAUCUCAAUUAGGCAGAGAGUAUUUGGUUAGCAAGCAACCACCAGCAGAACAACUUGGAGGAAUGGCUGUGUAUGGUAGAAUGCAGUACUACUUGUGAAGGAGUGGCUUUCACUAAACAUUCACACUGUUUUACUUGAUUUAUAUUAUUACUAUUGGCAAUUGUAAUUUAAUGAGGGGGUUGUGAUUGCGUUUUGUAUAUUUCAUCUUCCGUAAAGUAAUAUCUUUUAUAGGUGUCUCUGAGGAAUGAGAUGUUCAAUCUUAAAGGGAUUGUUUAUAUUAGGCUACAUAUUUUGAUUGUCUCAGACGGAAUGGAAUAGAUGGAUCAUACACAGGUCAUAAUUACUGAGCUCAUUAAAUGUGUUAGGUUUGUGUCCACCGUGGUGAGCCACUAUUUCAGCCAGCCAAUGUUCUUCUGUGCAUUAAAAUGAUGAAAUAGAUUGCAUACGCAUAUAAAUAGAUCACAUAUAGGUGAUCCAAUAUCUAGCUAUAUUACUCAGUAUCCUAACAUAAUAAACACAUUCAACAUCGAAUGGCUUUUGUUGCUCUGACUUCUUCGGUUUAUUUAGUGGGUCCAUAUUUCCAGUAGGUCUAAAUACAGGACAUGUAGGUCUGGCGUUUUUCUUCCAUCCACUGCAAGGUUCUGUGUGUCCGGUUCAUUAAACGCAGACAGUGUCCAGGACUAGAGGAACAUCCAGCAACAUGCAUUAGUCAUAUCUGUCAAUGUGGAUUUUGGAAAGGAGUGAAUGCGUGACAAUAACUG
ensembl:lncRNA